AGUGAACGCUGGCGGUAGGCCUAACACAUGCAAGUCGAACGGCAGCACAGUAAGAGCUUGCUCUUACGGGUGGCGAGUGGCGGACGGGUGAGGAAUACAUCGGAAUCUACUUUUUCGUGGGGGUUAACGUAGGGAAACUUACGCUAAUACCGCAUACGACCUACGGGUGAAAGCAGGGGAUCUUCUGACCUUGCGCGAUUGAAUGAGCCGAUGUCGGAUUAGCUAGUUGGCGGGGUAAAGGCCCACCAAGGCGACGAUCCGUAGCUGGUCUGAGAGGAUGAUCAGCCACACUGGAACUGAGACACGGUCAAGACUCCUACGGGAGGCAGCAGUGGGGAAUAUUGGACAAUGGGCGCAAGCCUGAUCCAGCCAUACCGCGUGGGUGAAGAAGGCCUUCGGGUUGUAAAGCCCUUUUGUUGGGAAAGAAAAGCAGCAGGUUAAUACCCCGCUGUUCUGACGGUACCCAAAGAAUAAGCACCGGCUAACUUCGUG
rnacentral:rRNA from 1 species